rnacentral:lncRNA from 1 species
CGUUCCAUGCCUCAUGUUCCAUCUCCUCUCUCAAUUUCUCACUCUUUCUCCAAAUCUCUCAAUUUUGGGAUCUAGUUGUGUGAGGAGCAGAUCUGAAACUUUAGUGCUUGAUUUGGCCGAAGCUAAUAGAAAAUUUGGUUGCAGCAGAAGCUUCAUCACCAAAUCAAUUCAAUAUUUGAGAAGCUCUUCCAAAUUCCUAUCUAAUUUUCAUCUGAAUUCGUUAAUAGAGUGGGGUGUUUUCUGCGAAUUAAGGGAGAAGACGGAGAUGCUGUAAGGUAGGGUUUUGAUUGGGGAGAGGAAGGUGGCGUUGGACGCGGGGGAGUGGAAGGUGACGGUGCUGGAAGGGAGGUCGAAGGUGAUGUUGACGCUGCGGAGUUGGCGGCGGCGCAGCCGUGGUAUGGAAGAGA